rnacentral:rRNA from 1 species
UACGUAGGGGGGCUAGCGUUGUCCGGAAUCAUUGGGCGUAAAGCGCGUGUAGGCGGUCCGGUAAGUCCGCUGUGAAAGUCGGGGGGCUCAACCCUCGGAUGCCGGUGGAUACUGUCGGGCUUGAGUACGGAAGAGGCGAGUGGAAUUCCUGGUGUAGCGGUGGAAUGCGCAGAUAUCAGGAGGAACACCAAUAGCGAAGGCAGCUCGCUGGGACGUUACUGACACUGAGGCGCGAAAGCGUGGGGAGCGAACAGG